CAACCCUAGGUAUUUAACCACAUAUUAUCUUUGGUCGACCCCACUUUUUCAUUCUUUUGAUUUUCAACUGUCGUCUCCUCCUUUUGGUCUCUCAGUUUUAAUUUUCCUUCUCUUAUUUGCGCUACCCUCCCUCUUUUCCUUUCUUUCCCUUUCCCUUUUCCUUUCCUUUCUCCUUCUUUCUAUUCCGAAUGCCUUAUCUACCACCUUCGUUUAACAUCCUUGUUGCUGCCAAUUUUUCCUCUCUCUUGGCCGAAUCGUCUUGAUCUCUUGGUUCUGAUUUAGUUCCCAAUUGCGAUCGGUUGGACCAGAUCUUGAUGUGAACGAGUUAGAUCGAAGUUGAGGAUGUUCCGCACGGUGUGGGAAGUAGAGGUGUGUGUCUGACCGUGAUUAUGUCGUGUGUGUGUAGGCUUUGGCCUAUUGUGUAAGUAAUGAAUUGCAUGUUUAGUUGCUGCCAAUUCCUCAUGUAUAUUGGAUAAAUCCUAUCUGUAUAUUUUACUGAUCCAUGCUUACUGUUACCGUUUGGAUGAAAAUAUCAUGUUAAUACUGUUACUGUUA